rnacentral:misc_RNA from 1 species
CAAGAGUGACGUGUAUGGAUACUCAGUUUCUUUACCUUCAUCGAGUUAUUUUGGUCGCAGUUGGCUUAUGGCCUUACCAUCGAACAAUGCUUGUUCAACUUCAAUGUUUUGUGUUUUCUCUUACUUUGAGUAGUUCUAUUAUAUUUCAGCUUACAACAUUUCUAACUGCAGAAUGGACUAUUGAGUUUAUCGUUGAAAUUCUUUCUACAUCACUUUUUGUUCUUUUGUGCGCAACAGCUUAUAAUUCUUUUUGGAGUAACACGCAUGUUGUUAAGCGUGUAUUGCAAAAUCUUCAGUAUAUCUGCAGUAACUUAAAGGACGAAAACGAAAUUGCCAUAAUAAAAAGAUACGGAUACAUUGCAAAAUGUGUUAUAAUUGGAAUGACAUUGUUCGUAAUGUGCUUUUUCUUCAUCGUAACUCUUUUGCCAAUUCUGCCGCGGAUUUUCGGUAUCUUUUUCCUCGUAAAUGAAUCCGAGCCAUAUCGCAACAUAUAUAUCAGGACUGAAUAUUUUGUCGAUGAAGAAAAGUAUUUUUAUUUUAUUUUGCUGCAUCUGUACGCAGUCCAGUACAUAGCUGGAGGUACAUUAUUAGUGGCAGGAACACUUGUGGUAGGUUACUUUACAUAUUGUUGUGGAUUAUUUAACAUUGCCAGUUACCGUAUCGAACAGACAAAGUGGAUAAAUAGUGACGAAUUACCUACUCGGAUGAACAAGAGGCAGGUUAACAAGAAGAAGAAGUUAAUUCAUGCAGUGGACAUUCAUCGUACAUCUCUUAAGACUAUUGAAUUCUGUCUAUAUAACUUCGAGAAAACAUGCUUUCUUAUAAUAGUGCUUAUUAUAAUUUGCUUGAGCCUUCAUCUGUUUGGAGACAGUAGACCUGCCUUGGCAAUCCCAAUGGUGUGUACAAGAUUCCAUGCUAUUGCGGAAAAGUGUACAUUGAAGAAACCGGGAAGAAGAUCAGUACACGGAUCAAAGAACACCAGGAAUGUGCCAAAUACGGUCACUUCUCUCAGUCAGCCGUAGUCGAACACUGGUUGGAGACUGGACAUAUCGUUUAGUACGACAAGACUACGAUAUUGAGUCCUACGCAAGGCUACUUUGCAGAAAACAUCGUGAAGGUUUUAGAGAUUUUCAAGCAUCCUGACAACCUAAUUGACGAACCGUGGUAAAGAGUAUCAGGAUGGAAGACUUUGUAUUAC